UUAAGCUACUAAGAGCGUACGGUGGAUGCCCAGGCGUCAAGAGCCGAUGAAGGGCGUAGUUGACUGCGAUAAGCCUCGGUGAGCCGUCAGCAGGCGUUUAACCGGGGAUACCCGAAUGGGGCAACCUACCCAGGCAAUACCUGGGUACCGUCAGCUAAAUACAUAGGCUGUCGGAGGGCACGGAGGGAACUGAAACAUCUCAGUACCUCCAGGAAGAGAAAUCAUUCCCUGAGUAGUGGCGAGCGAAAGGGGAGUAGCCCAAACCUGUCAUGUGCCAAGACUGCAGUCGUUGCAUGACAGGGGUAGUAAGGCUCGGCCGGCUCCCUGCAGGGAGCCAAGAAAGUUACCAAUCUGAUCUCUAGCCGAAGGACUCUGGAAAGGUCCGUCAUAGAGGGUGAUAGCCCCGUAGGUUAAAGAGAACAGACUUUCGCCGAUGACCUUGAGUACCGCGGGGCACGCUAAUCCUGCGGGAAGCAGGGAGGCCCACCUCCCAAGGCUAAAUACUCUUGACGACCGAUAGUGUACCAGUACCGUGAGGGAAAGGUGAAAAGAACCGGGGUGACCGGAGUGAAAUAGAACCUGAAACCGUAUGCUUACAAACAGUGGGAGGGCAAUGGCACGUCUUCGGACGUGUACUGCCUGACCGCGUGCCUUUUGGAGAAUGACCCGGCGAGUCAAUCUUUGUGGCGAGGUUAAGGGAUUAAUACCCGGAGCCGUAGCGAAAGCGAGUCUUAAUAGGGCGUCUAGUCGCAAGGAUUGGACCCGAAGCCAGGUGAGCUACCCAUGGCCAGGUUGAAACGAAGGUAAUGCUUCGUGGAGGACCGAACUCUUCAAUGUCGCAAAAUUGAGAGAUGAGCUGUGGGUAGGGGUGAAAUGCCAAACGAACCUGGAGAUAGCUGGUUCUCCCCGAAAUAGCUUUAGGGCUAGCCUCAAGGCUUCAGUAACGGAGGUAGAGCACUGGAUUGGCUAGGGGGCGUAGAGCUUACCAAACCAAACCAAACUCCGAAUGCCGUUACUUAACACCUUGGGAGUCGGACGGCGAGAGAUGACUUCCGUCGUCGAGAGGAAAACAACCCAGACCGCCGGCUAAGGCCCCUGAGUUUAGGCUAAGUGGGAAAGGAUGUGAGGUCGCUCAGACAGCCAGGAGGUUGGCUUAGAAGCAGCCACCCUUCAAAGAGUGCGUAAUAGCUCACUGGUCGAGUGACCUUGCGCCGACGAUAUACGGGGCUCAAGCCUAACGCCGAAGCCGCGGACUCUAGUCUUUGACUAGAGUGGUAGGGGAGCGUUCUGCACGCGCAGAAGCCGGAUCGUAAGGACCGGUGGAGUGUGCAGAAGUGAGAAUGCCGGGAUGAGUAGCGAUCAACAUGUGAGAAUCAUGUUCGCCGUAAACCUAAGGUUUCCUACGGAAGGUUCGUCCGCGUAGGGUUAGUCGGUCCUAAGCCGAGGGCUAAAGCCGUAGGCGAUGGACAACGGGUUAAUAUUCCCGUACCACCUAAGGUGAGCUAUGGGGUGACGCAGAAUGGUAAGCCAGCCCGGUGUUGGAUUCGGGUGCUAAACCACUAGGGAAGUGAGGGGGGUAGGCAAAUCCGCUCCCUGAUCCUGAAGGGUGAUGGCGGUGCCUUCGGGCCACAAGUGGCCUAGCCAAUCUGCCAAGAAAAGCCUCUGUGCGUUGAUCCUUGGGUGUCCGUACCGCAAACCGACACAGGUGGGUGGGUAGAGUAUACCAAGGCGUUCGGGAGAAUCCUCGUUAAGGAACUAAGCAAAAUGACUCCGUAACUUCGGGAGAAGGAGUGCCUUCCUGGGUUAGCUUAGGCAAAGCCCGGGGUGGCCGCAGUGAAAGGGCCCUACUGACUGUUUAACAAAAACACAGGUCUCUGCAAAAGCGUAAGCUGAUGUAUAGGGGCUGACGCCUGCCCAGUGCCGGAAGGUUAAAGGGAUCGGUUAGCGCAAGCAAAGCUGAGAACUGAAGCCCCGGUGAACGGCGGCCGUAACUAUAACGGUCCUAAGGUAGCGAAAUUCCUUGUCGGGUAAGUUCCGACCCGCACGAAUGG
rnacentral:rRNA from 1 species